GACGAAGGGGGCUAGCGUUGUUCGGAAUUACUGGGCGUAAAGCGCGUGUAGGCGGUUGCCCAAGUCGGGUGUGAAAGCCUUGAGCUCAACUCAAGAAAUGCACUCGGUACUGGGUGACUAGAGGACCGGAGAGGAUAGUGGAAUUCCCAGUGUAGUGGUGAAAUACGUAGAGAUUGGGAAGAACACCAGUGGCGAAGGCGGCUAUCUGGACGGUUUCUGACGCUAAGGCACGAAGGCCAGGGGAGCAAACGGG
rnacentral:rRNA from 1 species